CUCCCCAAAUACUUUGUGCCCUAACCUAACUCAGUCUUCGAUUCCUCCGAAUCUCCGACGGUCCGAGAUGAAGAUUUAGCCAUUUCUUCUUGUUCGGUUGUUCCGAGUCUCCGACGAGCUUAAGGCUCCGUGAGUCCGUAGUUCCGACUCCUGAGUUCGACUUCCGCCCAAGCUAUUCCUAGCUUCAACCGUCCGACUCUGAGGUUCGACCAUCCAAGCUUCAAUCAGACCAGCAGAUUGGAAGGAAUGUCUAGAAGGAGUAAUGAACGAUGAAGAGGCUAAACUCCGUAACUCUUGAUAAAAAAGAGAAGAGAUUGGGCUGCGUGGGGAUCAUCGGGGAGUAAGAAGAGCAAGAAGGGUAUGAGUUAUGAGUUAUGACUUAUGUUGUUAACUUUUUUAUUUCGAGAGUUUGAGUUAUGAGUUGGACCUUGAAUUUUGAUAAUUUGUAACAAUAUUUUGUGUUUUUAUCAUUUUA